rnacentral:tRNA from 1 species
UGGGGGGUUGUGUAAUGGUAGCACACGAGCCUUUGGAGCUUGCUGUCCAGGUUCGAAUCCUGGCCUCCCAGCCA